CAAUGUUGCUGGCCCUGAAGAUGGAGGAAGGGCUGCUGAGCCAAAUAAGCGAAUUAAAAAAACUGAUACAAAUCAACAUCACCGUAUUUCCGUAAUACAAUCAUAUAACUGCGGUGCCAGGCCGUGUAGAAUCGAAUCUUCCUAUAUGCAUGCGUGGCAGCAAAAAGAAAGGCAAUAGAACGUCUGCCUGUUGUACAGACUGGAAACACAGUAUUCUCCUUCGGAUGUCUCCUUCAAGAAAAACCUUGCCUAUUCUGACACGCCAGCCAUGACUGCACAACACUGCCCCUACCAAGAAUCGUUUUCUUAAGAAAUCCGUUUUCCUAAGGACUAUCUCCAGAGACACUCGGAGAAAACAGC
rnacentral:lncRNA from 10 species